UACGUAGGGGGCAAGCGUUGUCCGGAUUUAUUGGGCGUAAAGAGCGUGUAGGCGGCCAUGCAGGUCCGUUGUGAAAACUCGAGGCUCAACCUCGAGACGCCGGUGGAAACCGUGUGGCUAGAGUCCGGAAGAGGAGAGUGGAAUUCCUGGCGUAGCGGUGAAAUGCGCAGAUAUCAGGAAGAACACCCGUGGCGAAGGCGGCUCUCUGGGACGUGACUGACGCUGAGACGCGAAAGCGUGGGGAGCAAACAGG
rnacentral:rRNA from 1 species